AUGAAGCAAAUUGCUAAAGGUCUGGAGGUAGAUGUUUCAAGUCAGAGGAAAGGAAAUUGUGGAAGAAAGCCGAAAGACAUCAAUCUAGAGCAAAUCCCUACCAUCCCACUGAACAGGAGGUCUACUAUCAGGUCACUGGCUUGGCAACUCGGAUGCAGCCCUACCACACUACAUAGGAAGUUCAUGCUUAAGUUGAUAAAAAGGCAUACAAGCUGUGUGAAGCCAGUUCUCAAGGAAAAUAACAAGAGGGAUAGGAUCAAAUUUUGUUUGUCAAUGCUCGAUGAGACAACAACAGAAACCGAAAGACCGAAAUUCAAAACAAUGCACAACAUUGUGCAUAUCGACGAAAAAUGGUUCUAUAUGACAAAGAAAAACAGAAACUAUUAUCUGCUAAAUGGGGAAGAAGAGCCUACGAGAAGUAUACAAAGUGGCAGUUGUAUUGGAAAGAUCAUGUUCUUGACGGCCGUUGCUAGGCCAAGGUGGGACAGUGAAGGAAAUGUGAUCUUCUCUGGGAAAAUUGGUAUUUGGCCGUUUGUGAAGUUCCCGCUCAGAGGAGAAGCGACAACAGGCCCAGAGGAACAAUGGAGACCAAGUCCAUAA
rnacentral:rRNA from 1 species